AGAGAGAGACAUGCGCGCAUAUCAAUAAGCGGAGGAAAAGAAACUAACAAGGAUUCCCUUAGUAACGGCGAGUGAAGCGGGAAGAGCUCAAAUUUGAAAUCUUCAAGGUUCUACCUUGACGAAUUGUAGUUUAUAGAAGUGUUUUCUGUUAAUGGAGUGGCAAAAGUUCUUUGGAAUAGGACAUCAUAGAGGGUGAGAAUCCCGUAUUUGGUCAUUCCUCCUAGCGUUGUGAUACACUUUCAACGAGUCGGAUUGUUUGGGAAUGCAGUCCAAAAUGGGUGGUAAAUUUCAUCUAAAGCUAAAUAUUGGCGAGAGACCGAUAGCGAACAAGUACCGUGAGGGAAAGAUGAAAAGAACUUUGAAAAGAGAGUUAAACAGUACGUGAAAUUGUCAAAAGGGAAGCGUUUGACACCAGUGUUGUUUUUCCGAAAAUCAAUUACGAAUGUUUUGUUUUUGAGGAGUUAUGACUUCAUCGGCUUGCUCCUUUCUUUACGAAACUUUCUUAAUGCACUUUUCGGUUAACAAGUCAACAUCAAUUUCUUUUGUUGUAAAAGGGUAUGAGGAAGGUGGCUUUCUUUUCGGAGAAAGUGUUUAUAGCCUCGUGCCUCUGCAAUCGGAGAGAUUGAGGUCUGCAGCGUAGAUCCUUCGGGGUUAGAUACGUUUGUGCUAAGUUAUAGCUUUUCAUAGACAACUUGUUGACUAUGUUUAGUCUUGUAGCUUACUCGCUGACACUAUUUUACCUACGCUUAGGAUGUUGAUAGUCACAGCGUGUAC
rnacentral:rRNA from 1 species